rnacentral:lncRNA from 1 species
GUAAACAGUUAGAGUCGUUGAAAAACAUGGACGGGUUCAUGUCGGCGGUACCUAAUAAAAUGCUAAGCCUCCACACUACUCGGAGUCCAUUGUUUCUUGGCUUAACAGGGAUGAAAGGUGAAAAAGGACCAUGGAGUGGUUCUAAUUUACAUUCCGAUGUAAUAAUCGGCGUGGUGGAUAGUGGGAUAUGGCCGGAACAUGUCAGCUUCCAAGACCAUGGGUUGUCUCCGGUACCGGAAAGAUGGAAGGGUGCUUGUGAAAACGGCACUAGAUUCUCACCGUCCAAUUGUAACAAAAAACUAAUCGGUGCUCGUUAUUUCUACGGCGGGUAUAUAGCCGCUGGUGGGAAAAUCAAUGACACGGAAGAAUAUAAAUCCGCAAGAGAUGUAUCCGGACAUGGCACACAUACGGCUUCGACGGCCGGUGGGGACAUUGUCGAAAAUGCGAAUAUUUUCGGUUUAGCUAAUGGUACGGCGACCGGAAUGAGGUACACGGCGAGGAUCGCGGCGUAUAAAGUAUGUUGGCCGGGGUGUACUAGUGUCGAUAUCUUAACAGCUAUGGUGAAAGCUAUUGAAGAUGGUGUCGAUGUAUUGACACUUUCGUUAGGAUCCGAGUCCGAGGCCGUGCCUUAUUGGCAAGAUUAUCUUGUUAUUGCAUCGUAUUUGGCUUUUAAAAGUGGGAUUUUCGUUGCCUUUAGUGCAGGUAAUAGUGGACCGGACGCGUACACCGUGGUUAACACCGCGCCAUGGAUCAUGACUGUAGCGGCUAGUACUAUGGACCGAAGCUUCGUGGCGAUUAUCGAACUUGGAAACGGAGAAACUUUCGAAGGGUCGUCGUUUUAUACUGGUAAGGCCUUAAAGGGAUUACCAAUUGUGUAUGGCAAAACAGCAGGGGAUUUAGGUGCUGAAUAUUGCCUCCCUGGGUCAAUUGAUCCUAAGCUUGUGAAAGGAAAGAUUGUGAUUUGUGAACAAGGAAUAGUGCGACGGACCGAAAAAGGCGAGGCCGUAAAAUCGGCAGGCGGAGCUGGGAUUUUAAUACUAAGCCCGGAAGGUGAAGAUCUUGCCAGUGAGGUGCACGUUUUGCCGGACAUUUUUCUAGGAGCCAUAGCCAGUAAAGCUGUAAUCAAGUAUUGGAACACAACUAAGGCACCAACAGCUUCCAUUGUGUUCAAAGGCACAAUGUAUGGUAACCAAGCACCGAAAGUCGCGGCAUUUUCAUCCCGAGGACCUAAUUUAGUUGGACCGGACGUGAUCAAACCAGAUAUAACAGCACCAGGAGUCGACAUAUUAGCAGCAUGGCCGGCCGAAACGAGCCCAAGCAGGCUUAAAUCUGACAAAAGACGGGUAUUAUUCAACAUAAUCUCGGGUACAUCGAUGUCAUGCCCUCACGUUAGUGGCAUUGCCGCGCUGAUUAAAUCGAAGCACAAAGAUUGGUCCCCAGCAGCAAUCAAAUCUGCACUCAUGACAACUGCAUAUACAUUAGACAACAAAGGAAAACCAAUAGCCGAUCUCGCGUUUUACACCUCGGCAGCACCUUUUGCUAUCGGUUCGGGUCAUGUCGAUCCCAUCAAAGCUACCGAUCCCGGUUUAAUAUACAACAUUACCGCCGAGGAUUACAUAAGUUACUUAUGUAGCUUGCACUAUUCCGAUUCUCAAGUAUCCAUGUUCGAAGAAGGUUAUCAAUGUACACCGACUGAACGAAGGAUGCAACCCGGUGACUUGAAUUACCCGUCUUUCGCUAUGAAUUUCAAACAAAAGGCUCGGAAUGUUACGUUCACAUACAAAAGGACUGUCACAAAUGUUGGGAUACCAAAAAGUACAUACAAAGUAUCAGUUGAAGUACCCAAAGGAGUAUCUGUGAUUGUGAGUCCUAAAGUUUUGAGUUUUACUGAGUUGAAUGAGGAACUGAGUUACGAAGUGAGUUUUACUGGACUGAGUCGAAACAAAACGGUAGCUGGCUCAUCAUUUGGAUCCUUAGUGUGGGUUUCUGGUAAUUACAGAGUUCGAAGUCCCAUUGCAGUGAGUUGGAAAUAGCCAUUUGCCUAUGUCCCAUAGUGGUUCAAAAUCCUUGAGAUGAACUGCAAGGAUUCUCCUUUACUUUUAAAAAAAAAAAAUAAUAAUAAUUUAACCCAAAUUUGAUCUUUAAAUUUGGAUGUAUGCUUGUUGAAGGGACCAAAGACAAUUUUAAAUUAGCAUAAUGAUAAAUUUAGCUCUUAAUUUUUAUAUUUUUUAAUCAAUUUAAGCCAUGGACAAAGCUAAGAGUUAUGCUAUGGGGGAACUGAGAUAAAACUAAAAAAAAUUGAGGGGGUCAAAGCUAGAAAAAUUGUAUUAAAAUGACUUGAAUUAAAAUUUAAACUUUUAAAAAUGGUCAAAAUUGCAAUUGUUCCAUUUAAAUAAAAGCUAAAAGAGACUAAAUUGAACAAUUGACAUUUGAGAGGCCCUAUAAUCAAAUUAUACCAUUAGGAAAAGGCCCUGAAUUUAACCCUUAUCGUAUUUAACUAAAUUUGGUCCUAGAUCUCCUACAAAUUUUUAAAUUUGAUUAUCAACCUUUUAUAAAUAGUUAAUUUAUUUUUUAACAAAAAUACACAAAAAUUAACUUUUUAAACAUUACAUGGCACAUAGUAAUCUGCGCGUGUUUUAUGCUACUUUUUAAAUUUUAUGAACUUUUUUAUGACUUUUUUUUAAUUUUUGGAAUUUUUUAAAUAAUUUGUUGGUGUGACAUAUAUGAUGAAUAGUAUCAUGUCAACAUGAAGUACAAGUAGACUGCCACACACAUUCUCACGCCAAUAUUGUUAAAAAAUAAUGCUUUAGUAAGUAUGUUCGUUAUAAAAAGCAAUUUCUCUUUUCAAAAGGUUAAUGGCCAAAUUUAAUUAAAAAACAAAUAAGGGUCAAAUCGAUAAAAGAUGUAAGUAUUGAUUGCUAAAUUUGUCAUUAUGGCUUUUAAAUUUUUACUCAAGAUAUCAAGUCUGAGAAUAUUUCUUUAGAUCAAAUUUUGCUAUUAAUCUUUAUAUUAUAGGUAAGUUAGGGAUUUAACUCUUGUCAUCUAAUUUGAUCAAUUUUAGUUCAUGUGCUUUUAAAAUUUUAAUUUAACUCAAACAGUAAUAGCUAGAUCGUUUAAGUCAAAUUUUGUUGAUAAUCUCUUUAUAUGCAUUAAUUGUUGAUAUAGUCUCUAUUCAUCGAUUUAAUUAUUUUUAAUUUACACAUAUAUUUUUUGAAUUUUGAAAUUUUAAUUUUGACCCAAACAAUAGCCAUAUAUAACUCAAUAACUAAAAUAACGUGGUGUUUUAUGAUAUUAACUAAAGUAGAAGGAUUAAAUAUCAAAUUUCAAUUGAAUAGAGUGAUUAAAACUAGAAUUAGACCAUAAUAAAGCUAUCCAUGUUUGUAGCCAAAUAGAACCCAAUAAGGUAAGGAUCGAUCGUAGUACUAGUUUGAAGCAAGGAUGUCAGUAUCAAAUAGGAGUUUAAGGCUCAAUUUGUAAAAGAUUUUAUAAAAAUUAUUUUUUAUAUUUUGUUGUGUUUGUUUCAUAGAAAAUAGUUUAGCUAACGGAAAAUGACUUACAUGUCAACGGAAAAUAAGCUAUUUUUCCUAUAAAAUAACUUACCCUUUUGAAAAACAUUUAAAAAUAUUAUUAUAUUAAUAAGAAUUUUUAUUUUAUUUUUAAAAAUAAUUAAAAUAAUUAAAAUAUUAAUAUAAAAUAUUAUAUUUUUCAAUAUUAUUAAACAUACCUAUUUAAUUAUUUAUAUUUAGUCAUAUAAUAAAUUAUUAAUAUAAUUUAUUAUUUUAAUAAAUAUUUCAAUUUUAUUUAAUAAUAAAUUUUAAAAAUAAUAAUUUUAAAUAAUAUUCAUCACAUAUUAUUGAAAAUAUUCAACAUUAAUAUUUUAAUAAUAAAUAUUUAUUAUUCACCAAAAAUAAUAAUAAAUAUUUAUUACAAUUAUAAAUAUAUUAAUAGUAAAUGUUUUGUAGUAUAAAUGUUAAAAUAUGUCAUAAAUUUCUAUGUACUCUUCACAAAUUUACAAUUUAGUCUCUGUACUUUUAUUUUCAAGAACUUAUCCCUCUAAUUUUUAGAUUUGAAAAUCAAGUCCAAUUGUUGACAUUGUUAAAAUUUUUUGUCAAUUUUGUUGAUAUCAUAUUUUUAAAUAAAAAUUACUCAUUUGGUAAUCAUGCAACUAAAAAAUGAUGUUGUAAUGAACCUGAUUUAACAAAAUAUUUUUAAUAUAUGCAAAAAUAAUGUAAAAUAUAAAAUUAUAGAUAUAAAAUAAACUCAAUUAAACAAUUAAAAGAUAAGAAAGUCUCGAAUGUAUGUUUGUUUAAUUGAAAACAAAAUUCAUAAAAUAUUUUUAAGAAAUCUGUCAAACAAAAGAAUAUAUUUUACACAAAUUCAUUUAAGAAAAGUAAGUCAUUUUCCAGAAAUCAUUUUCUGGAAGUCAUUUUCAGUGAAAUAAACGGAGCCUAAAGUUAAAGGGAUAAAAUCAUAUUUAGUCCCUAAGUUGGGUAAAUUUUCUUACUUGGUUCUUAAAUUUUUUGUUAUAUUAGUUCUUAACUUUGACUUUUUUUUCUCAAUUUAAUCUCGAAAUUCGAAUUCUGUUAAGGUAUAAUGAAAUAAGUUUAAGAAUCAAAGUCUAAAUUAGGAAAAGCUACCAAAUUUCAGGAUUAUUAUGGAUAAAAAAAAGUUUAAGGAUUAAAUUAAAAAAAUACCAAACCCUGGGGAGACGAAAAAUAGCUGAUAAAGUACUAAUUAUCAAUUAAUUUGGUCCAUGAUUCCGGGUGUUGGGGUGCUUAUGGUUGACCACAACAGUGCUUUUUACUGUAAAAUAUUCCUACUUUUUGAACGUGCGUUCAUAUUUCUUUUAAUCAAGAAAGAACAAAAGAAAUUGAAGAAAAACUAAAUUUGGAAGACUAAACUAUACCAAAUGUUAUUAAAUUAUUAAUAAGUUUACAUUUUGAUCAUUUAUUUUUAAAAAAAUACAAAAUAAUUACUGAACUAUCUGAAAGUUUUUAUUUAAGUUUUUGAUUUGUUAAAAUUGUUGUUAUAUAACAUUCUCUAUUCGAUUGUUUGCACCAAUCAAAACCUCACAUUUCACUUCUCUUCUACAGUUGAAUUUUCUUCAUAAAAUAGCUUUGAAUAUUAUGAAUCUAUGAACCAAAAUCCAAAUAGUUUUUUCCUUCGAUCCCGACACUAAUAAUCAUAUCUAGAGCUGGCGAACAGGCGGGCUUGGGCGAGCUUACUUUGGACUCAAAUUUUUUCGGGAUUGGAUCAGCUUUUGGACUCGGGCUUUCUCGGGGUUAGAUCGAGCUGGAGAGGCUUUGACUGAUUUAGAUAAUUUUGAAUUUUAUAAGUUAAAUAUUUUAAUUUUCAAUGUAAUAAUUCAUUUUACUUUUAUACAAUGACAAACACAAUUUAAAUUUGCCUUAAAAAAUAUAAAUUAUAUAUCUUUAAUAAAACUAUUUUAUAUAAAAGAAUUAAAGUGCUUAUUGUAGGUAUAAUUUAUUAUUUUAUAAUAUUAUAUGAAUUAACGAAAAUAUCUUUUACUGAUCAUUAUUAUAUUAUAUUGACAAUUGAAUAAUUUUUUAUCUUUCUUAUUAAAUUUAUAAACUUAAUACUUAUAUUCGAAAAUAUUUAUUCCAAAACCCAAAUAUAUUACACUAAGCUAGACCUGUUCAUGGGCUGGGCUACUUGCCCAGACCCGAAGGCCCAUUCAAAAUUUGAGAGGGUUUGAGUAAAAAUAUUAGACGUGAAAAAUGAGCUUGGGCAAAAAAGAUAGGGCCGUUUAAAAUAUAGGUCGAGCUUGGAUUUGAACAUUCAAGGCUUGAGCCUCAAGCCCAAGCCUGUCCCAUCCCAUUUUUAAGUUUAUAAUAUUUUAUAUUAUGUUAUUUUUAUAUAUGAUGUAAUUUAUAACACAUUAAAAUAAUAAACCUAUACUAAAUAUAUAAUAUUACUCUCAUGUAAAUAUUAAAAUAAUGUUAAAUGACUAUAUAAAAAAUUUCAAUAAAUUAAAAUAAUAUAAAUAUUUAUAAAAAAGUUAAUAUGGACGGGUCUAAAAUAGGCUUGGGCAAACAUAUGCUUAGGCUCGGGCCAAACUCGACCCUGCCCAUGAACACUUCUACACUAAGCUCAAACUCAAAUAAAUAAUGUACUCAUUAUUACCUAAACUCAAAAUAAACUAAUUAUUAUAUUUUUUAUUAUAAUCUAUGAUAUAAUAAUAGUUAUGUACGAUAGUAGUACAUUAUAUAUCAAUUAUUAUAUAUUAUUGCUUAUUAUUAUAUUGGUUGAAAUAUGUUCUAAGUACCUAUACUUUUAAUACAUUUAAAAGUUAGCCUUCCUACUAUAUUAUAUAAUGUUAUAUCAUAUCAUGUAGUAUAUAAUAUAUUAAUAGUUUAUAUAUGCAUUAAUGAAUAAACAUUAUAAUAUGAUGUAAUACUAUACUUUUAAUUACAAUCUAUAAUAUAAAAAUAGUUAUAUAUAAUAGUAGUACAUUAUAUAUUAUUGUUUACUAUUAUACUGGUUGAAAUAUGUUUUAAAUCCUUAUACUUUUCAUACAUUUGAAUAUGAUAUAUUAUAUCAUAAAUUAAUAGUUAUGCAUUAGGGUGUGAACUUUUUUCUGUCUAAGUUAGUCCCUAAAUUUGACUAUUGUUUUUACAUUGAGAUCUAAACUUUAGGAGUUUUGAAGAAAAUAUCAGAGACUAACCUGGAUAAAAAAAAGUUUAGGCUCCGAUAUAAGAACAAUUACUAAAUUUAGUAAAAGAAAUUGUCAAAUUCAAGGAUUGAAAAAUUAUUUAACCCUUUAUUUUAUGGAUUUAAUAUUAGUACAAUAUUUUAGUAUUGAAUUUUAUUGUUAAAAUAACUUUAUUUCAACGUGCUCUUAUAUUUCUUUAAGAGAAAAAAAAAAGAGAAUAAUUCAAUUGGAAUAUCUUGGACAAUGGAAAUUCUUUGUUGGGAUAUGCAUGUGAGCCAUCAUGACUUAGUGAGUGGCUCCUUUGGCAAGAUAUGCACGUGAGUCAUUCCGAAAUCACACUACUCCCCCACAAAAAAUGAUAAAUUUAUCUAUAUCGAAAUUACAAGUUAAUAUAAUAAUUAUUAAUCCCUUCAAAAAUUAUUAUUUGUUUUUAACCUCUUAAAAUAACUUUGUACUUCACUCUAAAAUUUGGUCAUUAUCAAAUCACAUGAGACUUUUUGAUAUAUAACAUACACAUGCUAGCUAUCAUUAAAUCAUGUUAGGACCUACUUAUACUUAUAGUUCCUCCCAGAAAUUUUAUCGUAUGUAUAUAUGUAUAGAAAUUAUGUAUUUAAAAUAUAACGAGAUCUUUAAUAAAUAUUAAAACGUAUGGUUUGAAAUUAAUUAAUAAUAACACAUGUAAUAUGUACGAGAAUGAAAUGAAAAAAAAAAUAAAUUAAGUAAAAUGAAAUUUAAACAUACAAAUAUAUCAUAUUAAGAAUUGUAAAUGCAUUACAAUUGUUUAUCAUGAUAUCUCAUCAAUCUUGAGUUGAUGCCGAGUUAACUCGUGACACCAACUCAAUCAAUAACAUUAUUAAUACUAAAAAUUCUGUCACAUGCAUAAGUGUAAGUGUGUAGACAUCAAUUUAGUCAUAGAUUUUAUUAAUAGUAUGAGUAUACAAUUGAUGGAGGAAAUAAAAUAUGCAUAAUAAAAUUAAAACGUAUAAAAUAAUCAAAAUAAAAUUUAGUUGAGUGGUAAAUUUAAGAUUUUCUCAAUAUAAUUUUCAUAGGUUCAAAUUCUAAAAUUUUCAUACUUUUUAUUGUUUUUUUAAAAUUAAAAAGACUAAAGUAAAUAAUAUAAAAUAUUUUAAACAUGGAAAGACAUUUUUAUAAUUUUUUCUAAUUGAGUUUGUCUCUGGUUGACUCGUGGUACCAACUCAAUCAGGGAUAUUAUUAAUAGUACAAAUAUAUAUGAUAGAUUGAGAUAAUAAAGUGUCCAUAAAUAAAAUUAAAUGUACAAAUUAUUUUAAAAUAAAAUUCUGAUCGAGUGAUAAAAUUGAAGUUUUAUCAGUGCAAAUGAUAUGGACUUAAAUCCCACCAUACGUUGAUGACCAAAAAAAAAAAUCUCACCAUAUGCUUUCUUUUUUUAUUGUUUUUUUUUAAAAUAAAAACACUAAAGUACCCUAGAAUAAAAUAAUUUAUUUAGGUUAAAUUCUGCUAUUAGUCUUUAUACUUUACAAAAGCUGUGGAUUUAGUCCCUGUACUUUAAUUUGAUCAAUUUUAGUCCUUAUAUUUUUUGAAUUUUAAAAAAUUUAAUCCUGACCAAACAAAAGCAGUUAAAUUCAAUUACUAAUUCAGUAGUAUGCGUACAGUUGUAGAUUUGAUCCAUAUUCUCUAACUGGAUCAUUCUAAGUCUCUAUACUAUUCAAAUUUUGAAAUUCAAUUUUGAUGUAUAUGAUAGUCGUUAAUUAAUUCGUCGGAUUUUUAAUUAGUAAUAUGUGGAAAUAAUAAGUUGAUAUAGUGUUUCGUAUAUGAUAAUAUAUUAGACGCAUCAAAUUUUAGAAAUAAUAGAACUUAACUUAAUAAAUUUAAUAGUUAUCAUUUUGUGAAUAUUAAUAUUUUAAAAUUUAAAAGAUAUAAGGAUUAAAAAGGACUAAAUUAAAGUAAAUGGAUUAAAUCCAUAAUUUUUUUUCAAAACAUAUAAACUAAUAGUAAAAUUUAACCCUUAUUUUAUAUAAAAAUAUAUAUUUAUAAUUGAAUUGCCAAAUAUAUAAUUUAAAGAUCACAACCAUGCUUUGCUUUCAUGUCUUAUUUGACACCGUAUCCCGAGUUUGAAUCUCGGCAUCCCUUUCUUUACCUUUCAAAUAUAAAUAAAAUAUUUUUUUCAUUAAAAAUAAAUUAAAUGUAAAGGAUAAAGCACAAAUUUGGAUAUAAUAAAAUAGAGACUAAUUUUUCAUUAUAGGAAAAAAAAAACAAAAUGGUUUAAUUACAUUUAAGCUCAUUAGUUAACUUAAAAAAAUUACAAAAUAUUUAUUAAAUUAUUCAAAACUUUUCAUUUAAGUCAGUGUAUUAUUUUAAUCAUUAUUAUAUAAUCUUUCCUAUUCUACAUCAAUUGAUAACUCUGAUUCUUUUUCUUUUCUACCGUUUAAUUUUGUUUUUCAUGAAAUGGCUUUGUAUGUUAUGAAUUUGCAAAAAUAAAAUUUAAACAUUUUUCUUCUCUGUUUUUUGAUUUUGACCGUCAAAUUGAAUUAGAUAUAAAGUAUGUUCUUUUACUUGUAUGAAUAUUUAUCUACUGCACCGAUCGUCAAAUUGUCGCUUAGUAUUUACUAGUCGGAUUAUAAAAAAACUUAACAGAUUAGUGGCUGAAAUAAAAACUUUUAAAUAGUUUAGUGAAUUAAGUGAAAAUUUUGAAAUAGUGCGAGAGGGUAUAACUGUUAAGCCUAUCCAAAACAUGCGACAUUAAUAUAGCUUCAAAGCUUUGCCUUAUCCCUACCAUUAAUUUGACUAUAUACAGCAUUAACUGUUCUAUUUCUUCAGCUACCAUGAAGAUCUUUAAUGCUGCAAUAAUGUUGCUGCUACUAGCAUUAAUGGCCGCCAUUUCAACUGCUUCAACCGACAAACGAACGUAUAUAGUUCGCAUGGACAAGACAAAGAUCACCAACACUUUCAGUUCCCUUGUUAGUAUUACCAAACCAUGGCACCAAGCUGUCCUUGAGUCUUUAGCUGAUGAUGAUGAACUCGAAGCCACACCACCGGAGCUACUGUAUUCCUAUGAAACCGCCUUGUUUGGUUUCGCCGCAAAGCUGUCUAGUAAACAGUUAGAAUCGUUGAAAAACAUGGAAGGGUUCAUAUCGGCGGUACCUGAUAAAAUGCUAAGCCUCCACACUACUCGGAGUCCAUUCUUUCUUGGCUUAACAGGGAAGAAAGGGAAAAAUGGACCAUGGAGUGGUUCUAAUUUACAUUCCGAUGUAAUAAUUGGUGUGGUGGAUAGUGGGAUUUGGCCGGAACAUGUUAGUUUCCGAGACCAUGG